rnacentral:rRNA from 1 species
GAUGAACGCUGGCGGCGUGCUUAACACAUGCAAGUCGAACGGAAAGGCCCAAGCUUGCUUGGGUACUCGAGUGGCGAACGGGUGAGUAACACGUGGGUGAUCUGCCCUGCACUUCGGGAUAAGCCUGGGAAACUGGGUCUAAUACCGGAUAGGACCACUUCUUGGAUGUUGUGGUGGAAAGUUUUUUCGGUGUGGGAUGAGCUCGCGGCCCAUCAGCUUGUUGGUGGGGUAAUGGCCUACCAAGGCGUCGACGGGUAGCCGGCCUGAGAGGGUGUACGGCCACAUUGGGACUGGGAUACGGCCCAGACUCCUACGGGAGGCAGCAGUGGGGAAUAAUGCAAAAUGGGCGCAAGCCUGAUGCAGCGACGCCGCGUGGGGGAUGACGGCCUUCGGGUUGUAAACUCCUUUCGCUAGGGACGAAGCGUUUUGUGACGGUACCUGGAGAAGAAGCACCGGCUAACUACGUG